CACGUAGGGUGCGAGCGUUGUCCGGAAUUACUGGGCGUAAAGGGCUCGUAGGCGGCCAACUAAGUCAGACGUGAAAUCCCUCGGCUUAACCGGGGAACUGCAUCUGAUACUGGAUGGCUUGAAUCCGGGAGAGGUGAGUGGAAUUCCGAGUGUAGAGGUGAAAUUCGUAGAUAUUCGGAAGAACACCAGUGGCGAAGGCGGCUCACUGGACCGGUAUUGACGCUGAGGUGCGAAAGCGUGGGGAGCAAACAGG
rnacentral:rRNA from 1 species